AACGCACGAGACCUGCGGACCUGCGGAAGGAUCAUUACCGAGUUUACAACUCCCAAACCCCAUGUGAACAUACCUGUUUCGUUCCCUCGGCGGUGUCCGGCAACGGCCCGCCAGAGGACCCAACAAACUCUUUUGAAUUUUUCAGUAUCUUCUGAGUGAAAAAAACAAUAAAUCAAAACUUUUAACAACGGAUCUCU
rnacentral:misc_RNA from 1 species